rnacentral:rRNA from 1 species
AGCAGCCGCGGUAAUUCCAACUCCAAUAGCGUAUAUUAAAGUUGUUGCAGUUAAAAAGCUCGUAGUUGAACCUUGGGCCUGGCUGGCCGGUCCGCCUCACCGCGUGCACUGGAUCCGGCCGGGCCUUUCCUCCCGGGGAACCGCAUGCCCUUCACUGGGCGUGUCGAGGAACCAGGACGUUUACUUUGAAAAAAUUAGAGUGUUCAAAGCAGGCCUUCGCUCGGAUACAUUAGCAUGGAAUAAUAGAAUAGGACGCUGCGGUUCUACUUUGUUGGUUUCUAGAACCGCCGUAAUGAUUAAUAGGGACAGUCGGGGAGACUGGUAUUCAAUUGUCAGAGGUGAAAUUCUUGGAUUUAUUGAAGACCAACUACUGCGAAAGCAUUUCUCAAGGAUGUUUUCAUUAAUCAGUGAACGAAAGUUAGGGGAUCGAAGACGAUCAGAUACCGUCGUAGUCUUAACCAUAAACCGUG